UUUCAUUUAUAAUUUCCCUGAGGGGGAAGAAUUUCCAUGUUUUCAUGAAUUGGGUUAUUUACAGUGUUGUUAACGGGCGGCGGAGAAGAUUCUACGGGAGGUUGCUCUGAGCGGGAGCUGUCGGCGCGAGAUUCGACGCUGUGAAUCGCCGGGCUUGGAUUCCCAUGCACCUCAUCACCAUUGCUUUUACUAAAUUCUACAAUAUUGUUCGUUCGAGGAGAAUGUCUCGCGUCGGAUGCACUGAGACUGACGGGCGCAUGACCGACAGAUAUUAGAAAAUAUUUCGAGAAUUCUCGUGGGGCUACAUGUGGCAGCGGCCGUAAUCAGCCUGCCGGUAUUCACAUCGUCUCCUCGAAUAAAAGGGGAACAAUCAGGGAAAAAUCGUUAUCACGGAGUGGACCUGUCCGAAUAGCCGAAAGAGCCAGUCGAGUCUGUCACUCACGCGAAAACCAUUAAUCUGAUGUAAUUCACUCUAAUUAAUCAUCUAGAGCCUAACCAAGCAGUCAGGUCUACUCAGCUAGUCACUCGUCACUUCAAAAGAUAUGAAAAUUCGUUCAAUUAUUGAAAAAUCGUAGAGCGAUCGUUCGGAACAACAACAGAAUAAUAUUCUGAGGGUGCCCACGGAUGAUCGACAAGACGAUAUCUCAACAUCGACGGUUAAGAUGAAGGAGAGCUCAGGAGAGCUGAAGUGUUCGCGGCUCGGGGCGCGGAUUCUGACUGUUAACUUUGCGAGUUGCUCGGCUCUUCAGAUGUGUUGUGGUGGGGCGGCUUGCCCAAUGAGAUGCUGGUGGCCGUCGGUGGUGAAGUACAAUUCCACCCCUUCAAGAAUUUCGGCCAAUUUGCGAAAGUGUGAGAAAGCAAGGACUAUUAUAGUCCUUGUUUGUUACAUUAGCUACGGUCUAUGCUUAUGUAAUAUCAUUAGUAUUAACA